UACAGAGGUCUCAACCGUUGUUCGGAUUCAUUGGGCGUAAAGGGUGCGUAGGCGGUCGCGUAAGUCAGGUGUGAAAUCCCGGGGCUCAACCCCGGAACUGCACUUGAUACUGCGUGGCUAGGGUACUGGAGAGGAGACUGGAAUUUACGGUGUAGCAGUGAAAUGCGUAGAUAUCGUAAGGAACGCCAGUGGCGAAAGCGAAUCUCUGGGCAGCAACUGACGCUGAGGCACGAAGGCCAGGGGAGCAAACGGG
rnacentral:rRNA from 1 species